UACGGAAGGGUGCAAGCGUUACUCGGAAUUACUGGGCGUAAAGCGUGCGUAGGUGGUUGUUUAAGUCUGUUGUGAAAGCCCUGGGCUCAACCUGGGAAUUGCAGUGGAUACUGGGCGACUAGAGUGUGGUAGAGGGUAGUGGAAUUCCCGGUGUAGCAGUGAAAUGCGUAGAGAUCGGGAGGAACAUCCAUGGCGAAGGCAGCUACCUGGACCAACACUGACACUGAGGCACGAAAGCGUGGGGAGCAAACAGG
rnacentral:rRNA from 1 species